UACGUAGGAGGCGAGCGUUUGUCCGGAAUCAUUGGGCGUAAAGAGCGUGUAGGCGGCUUGGCAAGUCUGACGUGAAAGCCCGCGGCUCAACCGCGGAUUGUCGUUGGAAACUGCCUCGCUAGAGUCCGGAAGAGGAGAGCGGAAUUCCUGGUGUAGCGGUGGAAUGCGCAGAUAUCAGGAAGAACACCCGUGGCGAAGGCGGCUCUCUGGGACGGUACUGACGGCUGAGACGCGAAAGCGUGGGGAGCGAACAGG
rnacentral:rRNA from 1 species